UAAAUUUUAUUUAUUAAUUUUAUUUAUUUAAGUAUUAUAUUUAAUAAAAAUAAUUUUAAUUCAGUAUAGUUUUAGUAUUUUUUAAAGAAAUAAUAAUUUUAAUAAUAGUUUAUUUGUAUUGUAAAAGAAGAUUGAAAUAAUUUGAAAAAUUUUUAUUUUAAAAGAAAAUUUAAUUUAUUGUACCUUGUGUAUCAGGGUUUAUUAAUUAAUUAAUUAUUAUAGUAAUUUUUCUCGAAUUUUAAAGAUUUAAUUAUAUAUAAAAGUUAUUGUGGAAUAAUUAUUUUUAAUAUAUAAUUAGAAAUGAAAUGUUAAUCGUUUUAAAAUAUAUCUAGUUUUUUAAGAAAUAAAUUUAAUUUAGAUUUAUAAAUUAAAAGUAUUAUUUAUUUAAUAUUUUUAAUUUAUAAAAUUAAUAUUUUAAGGGAUUAGCUUUAAAAUAAAUUUUUAAAUUUUAAAAAAGUAUUUAAUAAAUGUAAGCUUAAAAAUAGUUAUCAUUAAUAAAUUUGUUAUAAUUUAUUUUAAAUUUUUUAUUAUUUAUUAUAAAAUUAAAUUAUUUAUUAAAAUAUAAAUUUUAAUAUUAAUGAUUUAUAAAUUAUGGUAAAAUUAGUAUAUUUAAUUUAUAUAAAUUAUUUAAAUUGAGAGGUUUAAAUAAGGAAUUCGGCAAAUUAUAUAUUCACCUGUUUAUCAAAAACAUGUCUUUUUGUAUUUAAUUUAAAGUCUAACCUGCCCACUGGUAGAUAUUAAAGGGCCGCAGUAUUUUGACUGUGCGAAGGUAGCAUAAUCAGUAGUCUUUUAAUUGAAGGCUUGUAUGAAUGGUUGAAUGAGAUAUAUACUGUCUUUUUUAAAUUUUUAUAGAAUUUUAUUUUUUAAUUAAAAAGUUAAAAUAUAAUUAAAAGACGAGAAGACCCUAUAGAUCUUUAUUUUUUUUAAUUAUAAGUUAAAAAGAAUAAUUAAAUUUAUAGUUUUAUAAAAAAUUUUACUGGGGUGGUAUUAAAAUUUAAUUAACUUUUAUUAUUUGUUUACAUUAAUAUAUGUAUAUUUGAUCCAAUUUUAUUGAUUAAAAAAUUAAGUUACCUUAGGGAUAACAGCGUAAUUUUUUUUUAGAGUUCUUAUCGACAAAAAAGAUUGCGACCUCGAUGUUGGAUUAAGAAUUAUUUUUAGGUGUAGAAGUUUAAAGUUUAGGUCUGUUCGACCUUUGAAUUCUUACAUGAUCUGAGUUCAAACCGGCGUAAGCCAGGUUGGUUUCUAUCUUUAAUAAAUUAUUAUAUUAUAGUACGAAAGGACCUAAUAUAAAAAAUAUAAAUUUUAAAUUUAUGAAUUAUAUUAAUAUUUAAUAAA
rnacentral:rRNA from 1 species